AAAGAUUUACAGGACCAAAUAGACUCCCUGGCAGAAGUGGUCCUUCAAAACAGACGAGGCUUAGAUUUGCUGACAGCUAACCAGGGAGGUAUUUGCUUGGCCUUAGGGGAAAGAUGCUGCUUUUAUGCCAAUAAAUCAGGCAUAGUACACACUAAAAUUAAGCAGCUUCAAGAAGAUCUAGAAAAAAGAAGAAGGGAACUAUUUGAAAAUCCCCUCUGGACUGGGCUUAAUGGAUUUUUACCCUACCUUCUUCCACUAUUGGGCCCUUUGUUGGGUUUACUUUUAAUGGUGUCCAUAGGACCCUGCAUUAUAAACAGGCUGGUAAAAUUUAUUAAAGAACAGAUUAAUAUUUUGGCCUCUAAGCCCAUACAGGUCCAGUAUCAUCAUCUGGAGAUGGAAGACCAGCUGCCAACAUUUAAAAGGAUGUUCUACCCUUCUCACAGGCUUAUUUCUUAAGUUUACAUCCCCACAGAUCUCUCUUUCUUAUAUAAAAGUAUAAGUAACAGCUCUGACCAACCAUCUUCUGCCCUUGCCAUAAGGGUUCGCUCCUCCAUGGGCCCCUCCACUUGGGGGAGGACUCACCCAUGGAGUGAGGACGUUAGGCCAUAAUAAUGGAGGGUGCAGGAAGGACUGCAGGAGGAUGGAUCCACGGAUCCCAAAACCCAAGACCUCUGAGUGACACGCUCUGGUGCAUGGCGGUUGGCAUGCUCCCCCCUCAAAGCUGUCUCCUCCAAAAACAUGCCAAGGCCACCACGAAAUCUCCUAGUGAAGACGCUCACUCGGAUCAGGAGAUAUUCUAAGGCCUUCUAGAGGAACAGAGCCUCUAUCACCCCCUAAAAACAUGGCCAGUAAAGUAUGGUCAAAUAUUUUAUAUAAGAAAGGGGGAGAUGUCAGGGACUAGAAGGAAAUUCUCCUUCAAAGAUUAGCCUGACAGCCCCCUGGGAGACAUCCUGCCUGGGAGGCAUCCUGCAGCUACCUAUCUCCCUGGAACAUCCUGCGGUUAUCAGGAUCAUCAGACAUCUUGCACCUGGCAGUUUUACCACCCACAUCCAGCAAUUGUUGAUUAGAGAGCUUCCCCAUCCCCAGCAUAUAAAUACC
rnacentral:lncRNA from 1 species